rnacentral:rRNA from 1 species
UACGUAGGGGGCGAGCGUUGUCCGGAAUUAUUGGGCGUAAAGAGCGUGUAGGCGGUUCGGUAAGUCUGCCGUGAAAACCUGGGGCUCAACCCUGGGCGUGCGGUGGAUACUGCCGGGCUAGAGUCCGGAAGAGGCGAGUGGAACUCCUGGUGUAGCGGUGGAAUGCGCAGAUAUCAGGAAGAACACCUAUGGCGAAGGCAGCUCUCUGGGACGGUACUGACGCUGAGACGCGAAAGCGUGGGGAGCGAACAGG